rnacentral:rRNA from 1 species
UGGGGAAUAUUGCACAAUGGGGGGAACCCUGAUGCAGCGACGCCGCGUGAGUGAAGAAGUAUUUCGGUAUGUAAAGCUCUAUCAGCAGGGAAGAAAAUGACGGUACCUGACUAAGAAGCCCCGGCUAACUACGUGCCAGCAGCCGCGGUAAUACGUAGGGGGCAAGCGUUAUCCGGAUUUACUGGGUGUAAAGGGAGCGCAGACGGCUGUGCAAGUCUGGAGUGAAAGGCGGGGGCUCAACCCCCGGACUGCUCUGGAAACUGUAAAGCUGGAGUGCAGGAGAGGUAAGCGGAAUUCCUAGUG